AAGAGUUUGGUACCUUCGGGUACUAUCUCCCACCAAUUGUGAACCAUUAUCGUUGCCUCGACAUCCGAUGUGUACCCGUAAGGUGUACCCAUCCUUCGGUUACUUGUACCUGAAGAGUGAUGUCGAAGGAUUUUAAACAUCUUUUAAUCAAUUAUCUGAGUCAAAACAAAUAAAAACA
rnacentral:misc_RNA from 1 species